rnacentral:rRNA from 1 species
GACGAACGCUGGCGGCGUGCUUAACACAUGCAAGUCGAACGGAAAGGCCCUGCGUUUGUGGGGUGCUCGAGUGGGGAACGGGUGAGUAACACGUGAGUAACCUGCCCUUGACUUUGGGGUAACUUCAGGAAACUGGGGCUAAUACCGGAUAGGAUAUCCUGCUGCGUGGUGGGGGUUGGAAAGUUUCGGCGGUGGGGGAUGGACUCGCGGCUUAUGAGCUGGUUGGUGGGGUAGUGGCUUACCAAGGCUUUGACGGGUAGCCGGCCUGAGAGGGUGACCGGCCACAUUGGGACUGAGAGACGGACCAGAAUCCUACGGGAGGCAGCAGUGGGGAACAUUGCACAAUGGGCGGAAGCCUGAUGCAGCAACGCCGCGUGCGGGAUGACGGCCUUCGGGUUGUAAACCGCUUUCGCCUGUGACGAAGCGUGAGUGACGGUAAUGGGUAAAGAAGCACCGGCUAACUACGUG